UACAGAGGGUGCAAGCGUUGCUCGGAAUCAUUGGGCGUAAAGGGUAGGUAGGUGGUCUCAUUUGUCUAGGGUGAAAUCCUUGAGCUUAACUCAAGAAGUGCCCUGGAAACGGUGAGACUAGAGUCCUGGAGAGGGUCGUGGAAUUCCCGGUGUAGCGGUGAAAUGCGUAGAGAUCGGGAGGAACACCAGAGGCGAAGGCGGCGACCUGGACAGGUACUGACACUGAAAUACGAAAGCGUGGGGAGCAAACAGG
rnacentral:rRNA from 1 species